rnacentral:lncRNA from 1 species
CCGAGUCUCGAACCCGCUGCUCCCCAUCCCACAACCUAUCAACAACCGCCGUCAUAAUUCUAUCAGAAUGCAACUUAAACAACUCCGCGGCCGACGACAGCAACAAAAGCGCGCCCUCCGAAACCCUAGAAUCGGUGUCCUUCAAAAGCUCAACACACGUGUCGACUAGCGCCGUCACUUCCGACGAUGACAAGCACUUUCUUGAAUCUUCAAGAAGCUGUUGCAGCCGAUCCACUCCCGCCCUUCGCUUCUUGGUAUCAUUCGAUCUCGCCAAUUCUAAGGCCUCCUCCAUGAGAGCGAGAGUGGUUUGGCGAGUAAUUAGGUCUUGGAAUGUGGAUGUGAUGAUGAUGAUGUUAUUGUUUGUGUGUAGAAUUGUAUUAUUACAGAGAGGGGGGGACCAAGCGAAUGAUUAGGGUUUGAAAUGUGGAUCUGAAGUCAAGAAGAAGAUGAUGUGAUGAUCCGAAGUGAGUAUAGUUGUUUGUCUGAAGAAGAUGAUGUGAUGAAUUGAGUUGAAUAUUACGAGGAGGAAAGGGGGAAAUUAAGUGUUUGAAAAAUAAUCUCCUGUGAGUAUUUGUGUCUUUAUUGCAUUUACA